UGGGGAAUAUUGGACAAUGGGCGAAAGCCUGAUCCAGCCAUGCCGCGUGAGUGACGAAGGCCUUAGGGUUGUAAAGCUCUUUUGGCGGGGAAGAUAAUGACGGUACCCGCAGAAUAAGCUCCGGCUAACUUCGUGCCAGCAGCCGCGGUAAUACGAAGGGAGCUAGCGUUGUUCGGAAUCACUGGGCGUAAAGCGCACGUAGGCGGAUUUGUUAGUCAGGGGUGAAAUCCCGGGGCUCAACCUCGGAACUGCCUUUGAUACUGCAAAUCUCGAGUCCGAGAGAGGUGGGUGGAAUUCCUAGUGUAGAGGUGAAAUUCGUAGAUAUUAGGAAGAACACCGGUGGCGAAGGCGGCCCACUGGCUCGGUACUGACGCUGAGGUGCGAAAGCGUGGGGAGCAAACAGG
rnacentral:rRNA from 1 species